AGGUGGUUAUUGUGGCGGGGUUCCACCUCUUCCCAUUCCGAACAGAGAAGUUAAGCCCGCUUACGCCGAUGGUACUGCAAUGCAAUGCGGGAGAGUAGGUAGCCGCCUU
rnacentral:rRNA from 1 species